UUGCAACUAGCCACCGUACUAACCGCCGAUUUCAUUGCUCAGGUUAUUGUAUUGAACCAUCCUGGUCAAAUCUCCAAUGGUUACACACCCGUCUUAGACUGUCACACAUUGCUUGCAACUUCGCUGAAAUCAAAGAUAAAUGUGACCGUCGUACCGGUAAAACCACUGAAACCGAACCCAAGAGCAUAAAGUCUGGAGAUGCAGCCAUGAUCAACCUCGUGCCCACCAAGCCACUGUGUGUUGAAUCUUUCUCAGAAUUCCCUCCUCUUGGACGUUUCGCCGUCCGUGGUAUGAGGCAAACUGUCGCCGUUGGUGUCAUCAAGAGCGUACAAGCCAAGGAUCUUUCUGCUGGUAAAGUAACAAAGGCUGCAGAAAAGUCGCCGAAGAAGAAAUAUGAGCCGUCAAAGCCCCAUUCGCAUACAGGCUAUUUGUCACGUAAACUUGGUUCUUGCCUGCCCAACAAUGGGACCAA